rnacentral:rRNA from 1 species
GUACACUCCUGCGGGAGGCAGCAGUGGGGAAUUUUGGACAAUGGGGGCAACCCUGAUCCAGCAAUGCCGCGUGAGUGAAGAAGGCCUUCGGGUUGUAAAGCUCUUUUGUCAGGGAAGAAACGGUGGUGGCGAAUAACUACUACUAAUGACGGUACCUGAAGAAUAAGCACCGGCUAACUACGUGCCAGCAGCCGCGGUAAUACGUAGGGUGCAAGCGUUAAUCGGAAUUACUGGGCGUAAAGCGUGCGCAGGCGGUUGUGUAAGUCAGAUGUGAAAUCCCCGGGCUCAACCUGGGAAUUGCAUUUGAGACUGCACGGCUAGAGUGUGUCAGAGGGGGGUAGAAUUCCACGUGUAGCAGUGAAAUGCGUAGAUAUGUGGAGGAAUACCGAUGGCGAAGGCAGCCCCCUGGGAUAACACUGACGCUCAUGCACGAAAGCGUGGGGAGCAAACAGGAUUAGAAACCCUGGUAGUCCCAU